rnacentral:rRNA from 1 species
GGUAGCGGCGGACGGGUGAGUAACACGUGGGCAACCUGCCUGUGAGACUGGGAUAACUUCGGGAAACCGGAGCUAAUACCGGAUAAUAUAAGGAACCUCCUGGUUCUUUAUUGAAAGAUGGUUUCGGCUAUCACUCACAGAUGGGCCCGCGGCGCAUUAGCUAGUUGGUGAGGUAACGGCUCACCAAGGCGACGAUGCGUAGCCGACCUGAGAGGGUGAUCGGCCACACUGGGACUGAGACACGGCCCAGACUCCUACGGGAGGCAGCAGUAGGGAAUCUUCCACAAUGGACGAAAGUCUGAUGGAGCAACGCCGCGUGAGCGAUGAAGGCCUUCGGGUCGUAAAGCUCUGUUGUUAGGGAAGAACAAGUGCGAGAGUAACUGCUCGCACCUUGACGGUACCUAACCAGAAAGCCACGGCUAACUACGUGCCAGCAGCCGCGGUAAUACGUAGGUGGCAAGCGUUGUCCGGAAUUAUUGGGCGUAAAGCGCGCGCAGGUGGUCCUUUAAGUCUGAUGUGAAAGCCCACGGCUCAACCGUGGAGGGUCAUUGGAAACUGGGGGACUUGAGUGCAGAAGAGGAAAGUGGAAUUCCAAGUGUAGCGGUGAAAUGCGUAGAGAUUUGGAGGAACACCAGUGGCGAAGGCGACUUUCUGGUCUGUAACUGACACUGAGGCGCGAAAG